CACACCUGCACAUGUAAAUCCUACGUAAGGUGUAAGCAUACAUGCAUAUUUUUAAGAGUUAGUUACACUGUAUGUUAAUUGGGGCGCAAUUACAACCAAAUUGGGCUCAUAUUUGAAGUUCUUACCCGCAGUAGCCCACACUCAGUGUAAACUUAAUUUACUUUACACUCUGUUAGCCCAUUACACUUAAAAGAUAUUUUCAACCUCAGUUCCGUUACUUUCUCUUCUUUCUUCCUACUUCUUCUUCACGAUUUCAACUUCAAGCUCAGGUCAAAAUGUCUGUAUCUAGAAGUUGUUUGAAGAUUGCCGGUAGAGGGAUUGAAUACAAUACUGGCAUAUCGAGCAAUUUGCCUUCGACCCCUGAUGUUGCAAUUGAUGAUGAUUUCGAGUCCCCUGUUGUUCGUACAAAGAGUUGUCAACAAGAAAGCACACGAAUCACCUGCUUGCAGCUGAAGAAGGUUGAUAACCUUGUUAAGAAUAUCAAGCCGACGACUAAGAAAUGUGGUCGACCUGAGAAAGCUAAAGUGAGGUUGAAACUUGUCGAUAAAGAUGAUGCUACUAAAAAAAAAAGAGAAAGGUCGUCAAUGUUGCUAAAUGUAGUUCUUAUGCAUUAUCGAAAGAACAAAGGGAAUCUAUUCGAUGUAAAUUUAAUGAAAGAAAAUCUCAGUUGAAGGUCGGUGACUUCUAUAUACAACUGAAUGAACAUUUUCGGACUAGGAUUAGUUGUCAUACGAAGACUGAUAUUAUCGGCUUUUUGAGGGAAUACUUGAGUGAUAUGCAACUUCAAAUCUUCUGUGAUAGUUGUUUUGGAUAUUUCUUAGGCCUUCCUGCUUUUAAGAUUCAGAACCAGCUUAUACAUUGCAUGUUACUGAGAGAGGUUGUCCCCGGUGCGUUAAGAGAGUUGUGGAUUAAACUCAAUGGUUGUAUAUUGAGUUUUGGUAUUGGAGAGUUUGCUGUUAUUACUGGUUUAAAGUGUCUUGAAGAUGAUGCAACUAUGUAUGACAAACCAAGUGCCAGUAGGUUGAUGGAAACAGCAAACUCUCCAAGAUGGGUUUGAUGUUAUUCAUCCACCAUUUCUUAUUCUCGGAUACCAAUGAUCACUCCAUCACCAAAGCAGAUUUUGAUAUUAUUGAAAGUGGUAAAUAUCAGACUUAUGCUUGGGGGGGAAUAUGCUUUGAAGAGAUUCUCAAAACAACAACGGAUAAACAGUAAUAUGGAGCAGCAGCUUAAACAACCUCAUCCUCAGAAUACGGAACAACAACCGUAUUAAGAUGCUAUCCUUCUGGGAGCAGUGAUGGGUUGACGGCUGAAGUUGCUCAGUUGAGGAGCGACGUUUCAGAGCUUACUGGUAAAGUUGUGGCACUCAACACUUACAUCGUAUCUUCCUUUGGAGUCAUAUUCAAGCAUCUAAAAAUUAAGCAACCGAGUGAUCAAGGCAAUGCUGAUGAGGACAGUACAUCUGGGCUAGGCAAUGAUGGGUUUGACAAUAAUGAUUAUGUUCCACCUCCUUCCCCCCUCUCCCUUCCCGAACAUCGCAUGAUCUAAAUAUGCAAGGUGACCAAACAACGUCAAGUGUCAAGGGAAAUGGAGAGGGUACUGAUGUCCCCCCCCCCCCCCCCCCCCCCCCCCGGGGAGCAAGUGCAUGACCUAAACAUGCGAUCUGACCAAAAUGCAUCAUGUGUCAAGGGAAAGUAGCAAAUUACUGAUGGUCUUCCUGGAAUGUUUUCGUCCUGUACUUGGUUUUUUUUUUUCUGCCUUCGGAUUGAAACCUUUUGAUUAAUCUUUUUCUCUGUCUAAGUGGUAGCAAGUGAUGGUGUUGAGCCCUCCGAGCAAGUGCAUGAAGUAAACAUGCAAUCUAACCAAACAAAAUCAAGUGUCUAGGAAAAUGAGGAAGUUACUGAUGGUCAUCUUGGUAUUUUUUAAUGAACUUUCUUUUUCUUUCUCUGCCUUCAUAUUUUUAUUAAUCUUUUUCCUCUUUCUAAGUGGAAGCAGUUGAUGGUAUCAAGGACGAUCCUUGGUAUGGUUUUACUGAUGGAGAGUUUGCCAAUAUAAAGAUGUCCCAGUUUGUGCUCCCUAGACCUUGGGAUAUUAGUGAUGAAGAGGUUGGUAAGAUAAAGAUUUCCUAGAUUGGGCUUCCUAUACCACUCGUCAUGGAAGUAGAAGAAAAAGACGUGACUCCAGAAAAAUUGGCACGAAAAAAAUUUCCAAGAAAAUUAGCCCAAGAUCCAUAUGUGGAAAAUUUUGAUUCGGGUACAUCUAAGUGUAUUUUUGAUAUCAAGCAUCCUUUCAUGAGUGACAUUGAUGAUCUUUAUGCCUUGUCGGGUUUGGCCCAAGAGUUUGUGGAAUUCGUUGAGGAUGGGAUGAAUAUGACACGACGGUAACUUUUACUCAUUUUACGCUCUUUAUGUUCUGGUUUUUACACUUUGCAAAUUUCCCAGGGGUGUUCUUUUCUUCAUGAUUUUUAAGUCCCAAAACUCUGUAUCGUGAUGGAAAAAUGAUCUGCCCGAAGAUUUUAUUUUCGGCUCCUGUCAUAUAAACACGAAGGACUGGUUCAAGGCGCUUGCACAUAGUGGUCGACCUUUAAAGGACACGUGAUUGUGGAGUUUUUGUUGUUGUCUUUGCUGAUUAUUUCAUGCAUGGUAAAGAAAUCACAAAAGACAAUAUUGACAUUGAGGUACAUCGCACCAGGUAUGGAUCCUUGUUGUGGGAUUAUGGAAGAAAAAACAAAAGGUUGAUGCAACUAGCGGGACUAAAGAAGUUACUGGCAGAUGGUUCGGGAGGAGGAAGAGGAAAUAUGAGGAAAAGUAGGGGGCUGCAUAUCAAUGCUUUUUAAAUUUUACUUAGAUGUUUUGAAGCGGUAAUGUAAAGUAAAGACAAUGUGGCUUUUGGAAGGGAAUUUGACUAAGCUGUUUUGAUGCAAUACUGUAAAGUACAAUGAUGUUGCUAACCAAUGAAAUGCACUUUUAUUGUGUA